UACAGAGGGGGCAAGCGUUAUUCGGAAUUAUUGGGCGUAAAGCGCGUGUAGGCGGUUUGUUAAGUCUGUUGUGAAAGCCCUGGGCUCAACCCAGGAAGUGCACUGGAUACUGGCAGACUUGAAUACGGGAGAGGGUAGUGGAAUUCCUGGUGUAGGAGUGAAAUCCGUAGAUAUCAGGAGGAACACCGGUGGCGAAGGCGGCUACCUGGACCGAUAUUGACGCUGAGACGCGAAAGCGUGGGUAGCAAACAGG
rnacentral:rRNA from 1 species